rnacentral:rRNA from 1 species
UACGUAGGUGGCAAGCGUUGUCCGGAUUUACUGGGUGUAAAGGGCGUGCAGCCGGGCUGACAAGUCAGAUGUGAAAUCCCGCGGCUCAACCGCGGAACUGCAUUUGAAACUGUCAGUCUUGAGUACCGGAGAGGUCAUCGGAAUUCCUUGUGUAGCGGUGAAAUGCGUAGAUAUAGGAAGAACACCAGUGGCGAAGGCGGAUGACUGGACGGCAACUGACGGUGAGGCGCGAAGGCGUGGGGAGCAAACAGG